CACACAUGUUAGUCGAGCGGAUGAGGGGAGCUUGCUCCCUGAUUCAGCGGCGGACGGGUGAGUAAUGCCUAGGAAUCUGCCUGGUAGUGGGGGACAACGUCUCGAAAGGGACGCUAAUACCGCAUACGUCCUACGGGAGAAAGCAGGGGACCUUCGGGCCUUGCGCUAUCAGAUGAGCCUAGGUCGGAUUAGCUAGUUGGUGAGGUAAUGGCUCACCAAGGCUGCGAUCCGUAACUGGUCUGAGAGGAUGAUCAGUCACACUGGAACUGAGACACGGUCCAGACUCCUACGGGAGGCAGCAGUGGGGAAUAUUGGACAAUGGGCGAAAGCCUGAUCCAGCCAUGCCGCGUGUGUGAAGAAGGUCUUCGGAUUGUAAAGCACUUUAAGUUGGGAGGAAGGGCAGUAAGUUAAUACCUUGCUGUUUUGACGUUACCGACAGAAUAAGCACCGGCUAACUUCGUGCCAGCAGCCGCGGUAAUACGAAGGGUGCAAGCGUUAAUCGGAAUUACUGGGCGUAAAGCGCGCGUAGGUGGUUUGUUAAGUUGGAAGUGAAAGCCCCGGGCUCAACCUGGGAACUGCUUUCAAAACUGGCAAGCUAGAGUAUGGCAGAGGGUGGUGGAAUUUCCUGUGUAGCGGUGAAAUGCGUAGAUAUAGGAAGGA
rnacentral:rRNA from 2 species